rnacentral:rRNA from 1 species
UGGGGAAUCUUGGACAAUGGGCGCAAGCCUGAUCCAGCCAUGCCGCGUGGAUGAUGAAGGCCUUAGGGUUGUAAAAUCCUUUCGUUGGGGACGAUAAUGACGGUACCCAAAGAAGAAGCUCCGGCUAACUUCGUGCCAGCAGCCGCGGUAAUACGAAGGGGGCUAGCGUUGUUCGGAUUUACUGGGCGUAAAGCGCGUGUAGGCGGAUUUGUAAGUUGGGGGUGAAAUCCCGAGGCUCAACCUCGGAACUGCCUCCAAAACUACAAGUCUGGACCUAAGUAGAGGCAAGUGGAAUUGCGAGUGUAGAGGUGAAAUUCGUAGAUAUUCGCAGGAACACCAGUGGCGAAGGCGACUUGCUGGACUUAUGGUGACGCUGAGACGCGAAAGCGUGGGGAGCAAACAGGAUUAGAUACCCGUGUAGUCCCUGAGCGGGCUGGCAAGGCGCAU